AAAAAAAAGACAACAUGUUUUGUCCAGGCUGAAGUCCAGGGGCCUUGAGCCCCUGCAGGUGCGGGCAGCUCCAUGGCCACUUCCUGGGCGCUCUAAGGCCUGCGGCUGGGGUCUCUUCCCCUGUCCUCCAAGCCAUGGGGCAGCCCUUUCCCCGACCCUGCCUCCUCCUCCAAGAGCCAUGUUGACGUGGCCCACGUGGCCAGCCUGGGUCCUUUCCCAUGCACAGUCCCUCUGCCGUGGCCCCUGGACUGGCACAGGACAGCUUCCGGGCCAUUCUUCAUCUGGCUGCACCCACGGGGCUCAGGUUAGCUGAGGCGUGGCUUCAAGCACCUGAGGCAGCAGUGGCUUCCAGGGCACCGCCAGGCACCCGGUGAGACCUUCCGCCCGCUGGUGGCAUCAGGCUGGCACAGGUGUGCGGGCAUCACUGCGCAGAGCAGGGCACGGUGACCAGGCGCUCAUGGGGACCCUGGAGUGGCACCGCCAGUGACGAAGCAGAACAGAGAAACCCUGCCCUUUCCCGUGAAGAGACAGGGCGCUGACCCAGCAGGUCUGCAGAGACCCGGAGCCGGAGAGCCCACGCCCUCACAGAGCCACUCCUACUCUGCCACAGCUGCUCCUGUCUCCAGCACGGAGUCCCUCGGGGUGCGGCUGCAGUGUGAGCAACUGGGGACAGGGACACAGACUGACCCCAGGCCGCUGGGCACUGGGCCGCAUGCGGCGUGGGGCAGGGCCGCUCCGGAGUGGGCGCUCGCCUGCCCGGCCAGCUCCGUGGCGUCCAGCCGUCCGUGCACGUCCGUUCAUGCUCGCCAAGGCACACUCAGCAGUGCUGCGAACGUCUCCGUUCUGCCCUCCACGUUAGCUUCGAGGUAACCCAGGGCGCCGCAUGGAGUCCGAAUGGGUGGUGGCAUCAACCUCCCGCUCUUGCUCCUGGAGAACCCGCUUCCACACAUCCCCUGCUCAAACGCAGCCACAGGGGUUUAGGGCGACAUCUUGUUUCAAACUUUCUUUAGCUUUCAGUAUUACUUGCCAUGGGGUAUGCAUUGCCAUAAAUGUGCUUUUUUAUUCAACUAAACCGUCCCACAUUUUAAGAGGCUUUUAAGAGGCUCUCAUGCUGCCGGGAGUUCUGUCUGCCCUGUCUGGGAGCCCGGGGGGCCUGGGGACUCCAAGCCCAGAAGUCGAGGGCCCCGUGCCUUCUGCAGGCCUGGUGCCCACAGGCACAGUGUGACCAUGGACCCUGCCACCCCACCCCAGGCCACUUCCUGAGGCUUGGCAGCCUGAGGUUGCCCACAAUGAUGACCCGGCACCCCAGCUGGUCCCCUAGCAUCACAGAGCCCCCCAUGGGCCCUGUGGAGGUGGAGGAGCAGGCAGGCAGCACCCAGGGGAAGGGGCUCAGGUGGAAAGUGGUGACAGCAGGUGAUGUCUGUGGAACAGGCUGGUGCCAGGCUGUCUGCCAACCUCCCCUUCCAGGCUGCGUGGGCGGCCGGGCUCGUUCCCGGGGAGCCGGCACUGACUGCUGCCCUGCGCCCAGCUUGGUCUCCAGAUACCAAGCACCCUCCUCAGCCCCAACACGACCCAGGUGGCUGAAGAGGCGAAGCUGCCCCGUGUGACCUCCUUCUGGGAUGUGAAGUCUGUGUCCAGCUCCCGGAGGGGCAGGGUUCCCACGUGGGCAGGGCCUGGGCCGGGCAGGCGGGAGCCACCCAUGUCCAUCCACCUGAGCGCAGCCAGAACCCAGGGUCCCAGCCGAAUGGAGCCUGACUCUGCCGUCUGUGCAGCUUCUGGCUGGACAAGGCCAUGUCCUGGGCUCGUGUCUGGCCCUUCUGUCCACACAGAGCCAGUCCCAGCUCAGGUGGGCGGUGCUGGCGGGUCCUCCCAGCCAGUCCACAGGCACAGUGCCACCCCGGACUGUGCCUAGCCUGGCAACCGCAGGCUCAUGAGGAGCAGUGUGCAUCGGUGGCUCUGGCGGGGGGCCGCAGUCUCUCAUGGCAACUUGCCCAGUCCUGGGUCUCCACUGCCCUCAGGCUCGCUAGUCCCUGGUGGGCAGGUGGCACUGCCACUGGCCUGGGCAGGGGGCACCAGGGAGACCCAACAGGAACCGCGUGUGCUAGAGGGGCCCGAGCUCCUGGUGGGCCAUGUCUGCAGUGACCCCAACCCUGGUGGCCCUGUUCACACCAGAGCCCCGCUGGUGCCCUCCACAGAGCUCCCAGGUACAGAAAGGGAGCUGGUGCCGCCUCCGCACGCUGACCUCAGGGUGAGCAGGGCCAGCUCCUGCUGUGUCCCCGUCCCGCCCUUCCCAGGGCAGUCGGCAGAGGCCAGAGGACCUGCUGGGUGCCCAGAGCUCUGGGAAUCUAAUGGCUCCCCUGGGGGGCUCCGUGCUGACCGAGGAGCAGCAGGGUACCUGGGCUCGGCCCCCAGAGGUGAGCAGUGGGUCCUCCUGUGGCCAGGGCACCCACGAGCUCAGGGAGGCAGCCACCUGUGCCCAUGCCGGAACCUCCAUGGCCGCGGCCCCUGCCAUCCUCUGCUCUCUGGCUCUGCUCACCUUUUCCAGCUUGGAGAGGGCCAGAGAGUAGCUGUCCUUGGCGCGGAACUGCAUGAAGCGCAUGUUGGAGGGGUGCGUGAGCUCCGUGGUGAUGCUGAGGCUGGGGAACAGCCUGGAGGAGUCAGGCCGUGAGGGUGAGUGUGGUCACGUGUGGGCCUAGGGCUGGGUCCCAUGUGGGCCUCGGGGCGGGUCCUGUGGUCACGUGUGGGUCUCAGCAGGGCCCGUGGUCACAUGUGGGCCUCGGGGGUUGGUCGCAGGGUCAUGUGUAGGUCUCGGGCUGGGUCUCAUAGUCACGUGUGGGUCUUGGGGCAGGUCCCAUGGUCACGUGUGGUUCUCAGCAGGGCCGUGGUCACGUGUGGGCCUAGGGCUGGGUCCCAUGUGGGCCUCGGGGCGGGUCCUGUGGUCACGUGUGGUUCUCAGCAGGGCCGUGGUCACGUGUGGGCCUCGGGCUGGGUCCCAUAGUCAUGUACGUUCCUUGGGGCAGGUCCCAUGGUCACAUGUGGGUCUUGGGGCGGCCCCGUGGUCAUGUGUAGGUCUCGGGCUGGGUUCCAUAGUCAGUGUGGGCCUCGGGGUGGGUCCCGUGGUCACGUGUGGGCCUCGGGGCUGUGGCCACGUGGGUCUUGGGGGGGGUGUAUCCUGUCACGUGUGGCCCCGCCCCACGCCCCCCCCACCGGCCCGCACCGGAACAUGGUCUGCACGUUAACGAUGGUCUUAGCGUCAGCCAUGUAGUCCUCCUCAGCACUCAUGGUGCUCUCCUUGUCCACCACCACCAGGUUGUCGGCGUAGAUGAUGCCGCACUGCAGCA
rnacentral:lncRNA from 1 species